CGAGUGAAGCGGCAACAGCUCAAAUUUGAAAGCUGGCCCUUUUAGGGUCCGCAUUGUAAUUUGUAGAGGAUGAUUCGGCGAGGGCUCCUGCCUAAGUCCCCUGGAACGGGGCGUCAUAGAGGGUGAGAAUCCCGUAUGCGGUAGGUUGCCUUAGCCAUGUGAAUCUCCUUCGACGAGUCGAGUUGUUUGGGAAUGCAGCUCUAAAUGGGAGGUAAAUUUCUUCUAAAGCUAAAUACCGGCCAGAGACCGAUAGCGCACAAGUAGAGUGAUCGAAAGAUGAAAAGCACUUUGGAAAGAGAGUUAAAAAGUACGUGAAAUUGUUGAAAGGGAAGCGCUUGCAACCAGACUUGUCCGCAGUUGCUCAGCCGGUCUCCUGACCGGCGUACUCUUCUGCGGCCAGGCCAGCAUCAGUUCGGGCGGUCGGAUAAAGGCCUCGGGAAUGUGGCUCCUCUCGGGGAGUGUUAUAGCCCGGGGUGCAAUGCGGCCAGCCUGGACUGAGGAACUCGCUUCGGCAAGGAUGCUGGCGUAAUGGUUGUAAGCGGCCCGUCUUGAAACACGGACCAAGGAGUCUAACAUCUAUGCGAGUGUUCGGGUGUCAAACCCGUACGCGUAAUGAAAGUGAACGGAGGUGGGAACCCGCAAGGGUGCACCAUCGGCCGAUCCUGAUGUCUUCGGAUGGAUUUGAGCAAGAGCAUAGCUGUUGGGACCCGAAAGAUGGUGAACUAUGCCUGAAUAGGGUGAAGCCAGAGGAAACUCUGGUGGAGGCUCGCAGCGGUUCUGACGUGCAAAUCGAUCGUCAA
rnacentral:rRNA from 1 species